rnacentral:lncRNA from 1 species
AUUUCGCAUAUCUUUUAACAGUUUCUGAAAAUGAUUGAGCACUUUGACUCGGCCACAGGGAACGUAUCAGUGGCCGAACAUCUCCCCGUGAGGAAACUCGAUGAAGACGAAGCGCUUUGCCCGUUUAAGGCAAUCAAGGGCAACGCAGCAGUGAGGGCACUGCUCCAAACAAACUCAGGUCUCCACGGUGGAGAGUAGGGGUGAACUCUGAACCCUACUCUGCUACCUCAUUAGCCUGCGUACACACCGGCAUCUGUUCUAUCAUGAACCCUAAUACGACCACAUGAAACCGGAAAAUAACUGCACUCAUCGGACCAGGAGAGAUUAGACCGAGGAAGGAGGGGGUGGGGGGACCGGACUUUGUCGACAGCACGACAGCUUUCAGCCUUCAUUCAUUUUCAGAAGAAUUGUCUGCUUAAUGGUAAAAAAAUAACUAGAUGAACCUUUUCAGAUGGGAUGUGGCUUCUGUAGUCUGCUGAUUCUUUUUUUUUUCUUAGUGCCGUUCUGCUCGAAGACAGAAAAGCUGAUGAAAUAAGGAGAGGAGAGAGAGCACGGCCAAGAAAGAGGGAGAGGAAAUCGACAGACAGAGUGAGAGGGGUCAUUGAGCACAACAGGAACACGGGACCCCACUCAGCUGGAGGGACUCUGGCGAGGACGAAGCCACCUAUCUUAUGGUGACAAGCAGCAAAUGGGGGCCCAUUACCGUACUGAAUGCUAAUGCCAAACUUUGGGCCCCAGGGACUGGCCCUGUUCCCCAACCACAAGGAGAGGAGACCUGGCAGGGUGCAUGCAUGACAAGCUCAAUUCACACCCACAAGUGCAAAAGAUAAUAACCGUAUAAAUCAUAAGAGACUCUUAGACUCUUUCUUUCUCACUCCUUUGCCACUCUCAAUCUGUGUCUGGACCGCUUCUAACACUUGCUGUUCCUAAUUGUCCCCUCAUCUAUUUUUCUUGCCCUUCCCUCUCCUUACUCCCAGCCUCCUUUGUUUCCUAACAAAUCUUCCACGUUUCUCUUCUACUCGCUGUCGUUCACGCUUUGAUUUCCCGGGGAAAAAAAAAAGAAAAGCCCAAAGAUAGCUUGCGAAAACCAUUCAUAUUGAUUAAACAAUCUGUGUUCAUCAUAUCCGAAAAUAGUGCUGCCAGUGUCGAUUGUAAUGCACAUUAAUAAACAAGCGAGCAGUAGUUAACAAUGGUGAACGUGUAGCAUGCUGUGCUUCGUGGAAAUGAAUAGCAAAGAAUAUUGGGUAUAAAUGCCCAUCAUGGGAG